UACGAAGGGUGCAAGCGUUAAUCGGAAUUACUGGGCGUAAAGCGUGCGUAGGCGGUUUCUUAAGUCUGCUGUGAAAGCCCCGGGCUCAACCUGGGAAUGGCGGUGGAUACUGAGAAGCUGGAGUACGGUAGAGGAAGGUGGAAUUCCCGGUGUAGCGGUGAAAUGCGCAGAUAUCAGGAGGAACACCCGUAGCGAAGGCGGCACUCUGGGCCGAUACUGACACUGAGGAGCGAAAGCGUGGGGAGCGAACAGG
rnacentral:rRNA from 1 species